AUGUGUCCAUCCAGACUCCAAGUGGAGUGUAGGGCUCCCAAGGGCAGCGAGGGGUGGGACGGGCAGACCCUGCCCAGGCAGUCCUCACAUUGGACAGGGCAUCAGAUGGCAUCCCAAGGGCUUGCCCUCCCUUUCGCCCCCACCCCAACUCAGGUGGAGGGAGAGCAGCUGUCACCAGAGCCUGUGUUGGUGAAGGUUUCGGUCAGGAUGGAGCCGACAUCAGCGGUGAACCUGAAGGCAUCCAGCAUUGGGAGCAGGUUAAGAAGAGCUGACUGUGGCUGUCAGGACACCUUCAUGGAAAAUUACUUCACCAGCCAGCGAGACCACAUCUUCCAUAACACAGAGGUUUUGAUUUACGUGUUUGAUGUGGAGAGCCAUGAACUGGAAAAGGAUAUGCAUUAUUGCCAGUCAUGUCUGGAGGUCAUCCUCCAGAACUCUCCUGACGCCAACAUCUUCUGCCUGGUGCACGAAAUGGACCUGGUUCAGCAGGAUCAGCGUGACCUGGUUUUUAAGGAGCGAGCGGAAGACCUGAGGCGUCUGUCUCACCCGCUGGAGUGUGCUUGUCUUUGAACAUCCAUCUGGGAUGAGACGCUCUACAAAGCCUGGUCCAGCAUCAUCUACCAGCUAAUUCCCAACGUUCAGCAGCUGGAGAUGAACCUCAGGAAUUUUGCCCAAAUCAUCGAGGCCGAUGAAGUUCUGCUGUUCGAAAGAGCUAUGUUCUUGGUGAUUUCCCACUACCAGUGCAAAGAGCAGCGUGACAUCCACCGCUUUGAGAAGAUCAGCAACAUCAUCAAGCAGUUCAAGCUGAGCUGCAGUAAACUGGCCACUUCCUUUCAGAGCAUGGAAGUUAGGAAUUCCAACUUUGCAGCUUUUAUGGACAUCUUCACCUCAAACACGUAUGUCACGGUGGUCAUGUCAGAUCCGUCCAUCCCUUCUGCGGCCACCCUGAUCAACAUUCGCAAUGCCAGGAAACACUUUGAGAAGCUGGAGAGAGUGAAUGGCCCCAAGCACAGUCUCCUUAUGAGUUGAAUAGUCCCAAAUGCUCUUUCUGAAAAUGCUGAAUUGCCUUUUUUGUUUGCAUCCUUUAAUUUUAAUAUUCAUAAUGUCGUGUGCUUAAAAGUGGGCUUUGAAGUGUGUGCUGCUUUCUCCUUUCAUCUUUUUCCCCUGCUCUCCAGUCUUUAAACAUUGGACGCUACUUACCUACCCAGUAGAGCUUGAAGCUGGCUUUUCUGAGAAGAUGGUAUGGUGUAACACUAAAGUCGGUGUUUCGUGUGUGUUCUGAUUACCUGGUUAUAAUAGAUAUGCACAUCAAAGCCUUUACCAGUAUCUUCCUGUAUUCCGUAUCAGAUUGCAAAGAUGGAAUGUUACUAUUUUAUCAGCAAGGUAUUAAAAGGCGUUUAUAAACUC